GGGGGGGGGGGGGGGGGGGGGGGGGGCGGGCGGGGCGGGCGGGGGGGGGGGGGGCUUGCGCGGGGGAGGGUAGCGGCGGACGGGUGAGUAACACGUGGGUAACCUGCCCAUCAGACGGGGAUAACGUCGGGAAACGGGAGCUAAUACCGGAUAGGACUUCGAACCGCAUGGUUCGAAGGGGAAAGGCGGCCCAGCCGUCUCCUGGUGGUGGAACCGCGGGGCAUUAGCUAGUUGGUAAGGUAACGGCUUACCAAGGCAGCGAUGCAUAGCCGACCUGAGAGGGUGAUCGGCCACACUGGGACUGAGACACGGCCCAAACUCCUACGGGAGGCAGCAGUAGGGAAUCUUCCGCAAUGGACGCAAGUCUGACGGAGCAACGCCGCGUGAGUGAAGAAGGUUUUCGGAUCGUAAAACUCUGUUGUUAGAGAAGAACAAGUGCUAGAGUAACUGUUAGCGCCUUGACGGUAUCUAACCAGAAAGCCACGGCUAACUACGUG
rnacentral:rRNA from 1 species